rnacentral:rRNA from 1 species
UGAUGGUUAGCGGCGGACGGGUGAGUAACACGUAGGCAACCUGCCCUCAAGUUUGGGACAACUACCGGAAACGGUAGCUAAUACCGAAUAAUUGUUUUCUUCGCCUGAAGGAAACUGGAAAGACGGAGCAAUCUGUCACUUGGGGAUGGGCCUGCGGCGCAUUAGCUAGUUGGUGAGGUAACGGCUCACCAAGGCGACGAUGCGUAGCCGACCUGAGAGGGUGAUCGGCCACACUGGGACUGAGACACGGCCCAGACUCCUACGGGAGGCAGCAGUAGGGAAUCUUCCGCAAUGGGCGAAAGCCUGACGGAGCAAUGCCGCGUGAGUGAUGAAGGUUUUCGGAUCGUAAAGCUCUGUUGCCAGGGAAGAACGCUUGGGAGAGUAACUGCUCUCAAG